rnacentral:sRNA from 1 species
CCCAGGACUUACGUCCUGGGCUACUAUCAAACGCCCCUGCGGGGCU